AACGGCCAUAUCACGCUGAAACACCAUUUCUCGUAUGAUCACCUAAGUUAAGCAAGGUCGAAUUGGGUCAGUACCUAGAUUGGUGACCACUUGGGUAUACCAGGAGAUGUAC